UCGCCGCCUCCUCCUACCUCGCUGCGACCGCCACACCACAGGGAGGGUCCAGUCCAGAUGGCGGGAGCGGGAGCCCGAUUGUCAUUGGGGCGCGGCAUCGCGUCGCGCCUUCGUGUCCCUCCUCCUUGCCGCCUCGCCCACGCCGCCUCCGCCUCCGCCGAGAUCACUAGUUUGAAGGACGAGGAUUGCAGUGGCUUCUUACAUUGGUUGCAGCGGAAGGCGGGGACUCAGAUUUCUGCAGUACUAACUCUAGGAAGUUCAGCCUUUGGAAGGUCAUUAUUUGCAUUGGAGCCCAUAAAAGAGGGGGACUGUAUAAUGGAAGUACCUUAUGAUGUUCAACUUACUCAAGAUAAAUUUCCUGUAGAAGUCCGUAUACUUCUAGAUAAUGUUGUUGGCGAUACAGCCAAGGUUGCUGUGCUCCUCAUGAUGGAGCAACACUUGGGACAUGUAGAAUCAGGAUGGGAGCCAUAUGUAAAAUCUCUUCCAUGCAAAGGUCAGAUGCAUAACAUGAUGUUAUGGGAUCUGAAUGAGCUUCAUAUGGUCCGAAAUAGCUCAAUUUAUAAUGAAGCCAUUGAACAGAAGGAUCAGGCUAAAAAGGAGUUUUCAGCAGUGAAGCCAAUUCUUGAACAUUUCCCACAUUUGUUUGGAGAAACCAACGUGGAGGAUUUCAUGCUUGCUUCUGCAUUGGUUUCAUCGCGAGCUUGGUGGACUUUGAGAGGUGUAUCACUGAUUCCAUUUGCAGAUUUUCUUAACCAUGAUGGCUUUUCUAAUUCUAUAUUACUAUACGAUGAGCAGAAAGAUGUUUGUGAGGUCAUUGCUGACAGGAGUUAUGCUGUUGGUGAACAGGUUAUGAUAAGAUACGGAAAAUUCUCGAAUGCUACACUAGCACUUAACUUUGGAUUUACAUUUUCUAGAAAUGUAUAUGAUCAGGUACAUAUUUGGAUAGAUAUGCCAGAGCAAGACCUAUUAUGUAGGGAGAAGCUUGACAUAUGGGAAAGGCAUCAUUCUCCAAAAGCUGAAGAUAUGUUCAGUUGUGGUCGCACUAAAAUUUCUUUUGUCAUAAAGUAUGUGGUUAGGAAGUUAUUUACAUCUAACUUGGUUCAUCCUUCAAUUAUUUGCUAUGUUAUCUUUGCAACAUUUAGUAAAAGGAAUACCAAGAAAUUUAAUUGUUUAUGUGAAGGUAAUUUAAAACCUGGCUAUAGGGACAUAUUUUCUGACAGCGCAGAAAUUACAGAAGUUUAAGCUAGUGUGUCUACCAUAUUGUAAAAUAAGAGAUGCAGAUGAUUUUAUGAAGAGUAAAGCACAUGGCCGGUCCUUAAACCUGUGCCAAUAUGUCAUCUAGGUCCUUGAGCUUUGCAGGAACACAACUGUCGCCAUUGGGGUCACGGCGAUUUGCUCGCAGAUAAGGAAGAGGAUGGGCUUGAUUUGCGGGAUGAGGGGCAGGCCCAUGUGGUCGUGCAAGAAGGGCGGUGCUGCUCCUACGCGACGAGAGGGGCGGUGCAGGAGCAGCACGGCCGUCAUGGCCUGUAGCAGCGGCGGGGAAGGAGAGAAACAGAGGAAAGAGUCACGCUGGCACAUAGUCAACGUGCCACAUAGAUGUUUUGGACCUGCGAUGACACAUUUAACAAGUUUAGCGGUAUGGAUCUGCAAUUUUGGGGUUUGGGGACAUGGAUGACACACCCGCACAAGUUUAAGGACUGGCCGUGCACUUUACUCUUUUAUGAAUUCAGUUUUGUUAAGUUCCUGUACAGUUUAGUGAUUUAGAACGAAAUCAAAAGACUGGACAGUGGUUAACUGUCAACUAAUCUAACACAGCAGAAUGCCUCAUACUCAAGUCCAAGUCAUCUGGUCAUGUUUGACUAGGAUCGCAAAUAGUGCCUGGUCCAGCUUGAGUGAAAUUUAAAAAAGCCAACAUCUUUAUUGUCUUCUGGAGAAUUCACGCAAUCGCGCUGGUAGUUUUCCAACUAUUUCACAUAUUGAUUCUUUCUGGAAUGCAUUCUAAUAUCUGAAAUAUCUAUAAUCAAGUCAAAGUAAUAGCAAGUUUCGCUAGAGCUCUAGUACGAUAAGAACAUUCUUUCUGUUUGUAUUGCUAAAUAUGAAGAAUGGAAACAGGAAAGCCAAAUCCUCUAGAGGCAAAGGGAUCGGGGUUCCCGAGAUCUUGCGUGCAUUUUUCCGGGUUUUCUAUUCCACAUCACUUGAAGAACUUGAAGAGAUGACGAUGGAGGCUGCUAGAAAUGAUGGUCGACUUGCCAGACGUCCUCUGGAA